AUGUUAUUGAUAGUGUCGAAGAAGAUGAUACAUCCAAGGGAAGUACAAGGUAUUGCAAGAACCACGACAGUGUUUAAAAGGGCUGCAUGGUUCAAGGUUGUACAAAUGCUGCACAUGGAGGCACACCUCUAUGCAUUUGCCAUAGUUCAAGAAUGCACAAAAAGAGGGGCUGUGUUGUUAGAGGGAGCGUGUAGUAGCAGUCAAGGCCGCACAGACCAUUGUGUGGAGCACGUUGACGGCAAGAGAUGUAAAUAUGAUGGUUGUGGGAAGGGUGCUCAAGGGAACACAGAUUUUUGCAUUACGCAUGGUGGGGGAAGGCGAUGCAAGUUUGAAGGAUGCGGGAAAAGUGCACAAGGGCGAACUGAUUAUUGUAUCAAACAUGGUGGCGGCCGACGCUGCAUGGUUCUAGGAUGUAACAUGAGUGCAACAUAUGGGACUGAUUUCUGCUCUAUGCAUAGAACAAAUUUGCUGAGUGGCUAUAAUUCUGCCAUGAAAUGCUGCCAGCACCAGCGCCUGAACGUUGGGCCAAGGAGGCAGAGCCAUCCAAAAGAAGAAACUCACACUCAGUGA
rnacentral:rRNA from 1 species